GAACGGCUUCGGCUGGUCUGCCGCUCAACGCGGGGCACUGGUCAGCGUGGGCUACUUCGGCGGGACAAGAGCAGGAUGUAGUUUCCUGCCCCCCAUGCCGCCGAGGUGGCCGAGGAACGAAGCGUGCGGCCCCCUCUCGGGGGGGUCGUGGGACUCGUCCCAACUGCACGCUCGGGACGCUGGCGUAUUGAGCUCUUCAUCCGACCCGUCUU
rnacentral:pre_miRNA from 1 species